GUCCACGCCGUAAACGGUGGGCACUAGGUGUGGGGAACAUUCCACGUUCUCCGUGCCGAAGCUAACGCAUUAAGUGCCCCGCCUGGGGAGUACGGCCGCAAGGCUAAAACUCAAAGGAAUUGACGGGGGCCCGCACAAGCGGCGGAGCAUGCGGAUUAAUUCGAUGCAACGCGAAGAACCUUACCUGGGUUUGACAUAUGCCGGAAAGCUGCAGAGAUGUAGCCCCCGCAAGGUCGGUAUACAGGUGGUGCAUGGCUGUCGU
rnacentral:rRNA from 1 species